ACACUUUGAUCUAGACAAUUAUUACCAAGAAUGAAUCAUGUCAUCCGGCAUGUCAUUGGUCCAUCGACGCUUCGUCUGAUUCUUUGGUGCAUAGUCCUCUCUUGUGGCCUAUUGCCCAAUCGGCCAAUUGACCUCUGCAACUCUGAUAUCCUUAGCACAAUAUCUGCUCUUCUUGGCUCGAUGCCCGAAUCCAUGGCCCGAAGCCUUCUAUCAAUACUUCGACCGAUUCUCU
rnacentral:lncRNA from 1 species